AACGAACGCUGGCGGCAUGCCUAACACAUGCAAGUCGAACGAAACCUUCGGGUCUAGUGGCGCACGGGUUCGUAACGCGUGGGAACCUGCCCUUAGGUUCGGAAUAACUCCCCGAAAGGGGUGCUAAUACCGGAUAAUGUCUUCGGACCAAAGAUUUAUCGCCUUUGGAUGGGCCCGCGUUGGAUUAGCUAGUUGGUAGGGUAAAAGCCUACCAAGGCGACGAUCCAUAGCUGGUCUGAGAGGAUGAUCAGCCACACUGGGACUGAGACACGGCCCAGACUCCUACGGGAGGCGGCAGUGGGGAAUAUUGGACCAUGGGCGAAAGCCUGAUCCAGCAAUGACGCGUGAGUGAUGAAGGCCUUAGGGUUGUAAAGCUCUUUUAACCGGGAUGAUAAUGACAGUACCGGGAGAAUAAGCCCCGGCUAACUCCGUG
rnacentral:rRNA from 1 species